rnacentral:rRNA from 1 species
UACGAAGGGGGCUAGCGUUGUUCGGAAUUACUGGGCGUAAAGCGCACGUAGGCGGACAUUUAAGUCAGGGGUGAAAUCCCAGAGCUCAACUCUGGAACUGCCUUUGAUACUGGGUGUCUAGAGUAUGGAAGAGGUGAGUGGAAUUCCGAGUGUAGAGGUGAAAUUCGUAGAUAUUCGGAGGAACACCAGUGGUGAAGGCGGCUCACUGGUCCAUUACUGACGCUGAGGUGCGAAAGCGUGGGGAGCAAACAGG